rnacentral:rRNA from 1 species
UCGGCUCAUCACAUCCUGGGGCUGAAGUAGGUCCCAAGGGUAUGGCUGUUCGCCAUUUAAAGUGGUACGCGAGCUGGGUUUAGAACGUCGUGAGACAGUUCGGUCCCUAUCUGCCGUGGGCGCUGGAGAACUGAGGGGGGCUGCUCCUAGUACGAGAGGACCGGAGUGGACGCAUCACUGGUGUUCGGGUUGUCAUGCCAAUGGCACUGCCCGGUAGCUAAAUGCGGAAGAGAUAAGUGCUGAAAGCAUCUAAGCACGAAACUUGCCCCGAGAUGAGUUCUCCCUGACCCUUUAAGGUCCUGAAGGAACGUUGAAGACGACGACGUUGAUAGGCCGGGUGUGUAAGCGCAGCGAUGCGUUGAGCUAACCGGUACUAAUGAACCGUGAGGCUUAACCUU